UACGGAGACUGCAAGCGUUAUUCGGAUUCACUGGGCGUAAAGGGUGCGCAGGCGGCCGUGUGUGUGAGGCGUGAAAGCCCGGGGCUUAACCCCGGAAUUGCACCUCAAACUACAUGGCUAGAGCAUUGGAGAGGGUAGCAGAAUUCAUGGUGUAGCAGUGAAAUGCGUAGAUAUCAUGAGGAAUACCAGAGGCGAAGGCGGCUACCUGGACAAUUGCUGACGCUCAGGCACGAAAGCGUGGGGAGCAAAAGGG
rnacentral:rRNA from 1 species